GGAAGAGAGGCAGAUCAUGCCUGGUAAAGACAUGAGGAGGAACAGUGACAAAAGGAGCUGUGUGAGGCUACUAAAGGCAGUGGAUCCCUCACCAGCUGGAUUACAAAGAGCACAGAUGUGCGGAGUGUAGAGAGAUGGGACCCAAGUCCAGAUGCUGACGAUGAACUUAACUGUGAGUGAACCUUUAUUAGCGGCAGGGACAGAAUAUAAAAUGCAGAAAGUGGCAAAGACUAAACUAAAGAAAAACCUAAACUGGGAGGCAACUACAAAAGCAAUACAAAGGAACUAAAAGCAUGAAAACCUGAGACUCUGGAACAUGGAGAAAUGCAGCGGGCAAUACCCAGACGACCCAUCAACAAACAGAGGAAGAAAAAGGGCUUAAAUACACAGAGGGAUAAUGAGGGAAUGAGACACAGGAAGAGAGCACAGCUGGGAGAAAUCACACUAACAUAGCACAUGAGACUCUCAAAGUAAAACAGGAAACAUGAGACAGGCACAGACAUGAACACAUAACUCGAUUAGACGUGACACAAGGAACACAGGGGAAGCAGAGACACAGAAACCAAGAGACUAGAAAUUAUAAAUAACAAUGAAAUCCAAGACUACAAAUAUUUCAAAACAGGAAACACUGGGUCACCGACCCAGGACUGUGACAAUGUCAGCAUGUUGCAGGGUGUUUGUUACAUACUCAAUUUCCAGGACCAAAACCCCAAUACAAGAAGUCUGGUUUGGCUUUCUGUUUA